AAUUUCCAACCAAGUACUUAGUGACGAGCAUUCAACGUGUGCUUAUCUGCUUGUUUUUUUGUAUUUCUUGGUACUUAACGAUCAAUAUUAUCUUGAAGAUCGUUCCAGAACCUAUCGGUCACCAUUGUGGCUCCUUCAGAGGAGUAAUACUAUACACCCCUACUCUUCAGUUGUUGUAGAAUGAUGGCCGAAUGUGAUGUUGUAGUCCACGAUUUUGUCAGUACAGGUCGAACUGGUCGACGAAAUGCCAUGCCAGAUGUUAUGUCGGCGCAGCAUGCUCAAGUCAGUACAGCGGGACUAGCAGAAGUAUUAGAUUCAAUAAACUUUGGGCCAUCUACUUCUGGACAAUCAUGUCAAAGUACCUCUGUCGAAGGAGUUUCUCAAAAAGCUACUAGUUCUUGAUUGAUUUUAUUUAUUAUUAUGGAUUUAAUAUGGUGGCUCAGUUAAGCUGUAUAUUUUUUGAAGUGCCGAAAGUAUUUAUCCUAUGUACUGAUGCCUUUCCGAGUAUUUUGUGAAUUGACUGGCAACUUGAGACCAACAACAUCAAAGUUUCCCCCAGAUUUGA